CCUGAGUCCGCCCAGACUGAAUCGGAGCACCGCCGGAGGCUGAGUGCCCCUCCAGCUUCUGAGAGCUGCGGUCCACGGGGGUCUUUCCCGGCCAAGUGACUGAAUGGAUGAUGGUCUGCUAGCCACUCGCAUUUUACGACCGGCGAUUGCCUUGUUUGUCCGGCUAGCCGGCAGUUGUAAAUAUGCUGCGGCGGUGAGUCAGGCAGGCGCGCGGCCAAAAGUCGGGUAAUUAGGGAUCAUCGUCCAGGUGGACCAGGUAGACAGCCACCAGCGACUCCUGGCCAAGGCCGUCCUCCACCGCCCGAUUAGGGAGUUACAAACGCAUCAAGAAACAAUUAGCAGGGGAUUAGCACAGUGACCUAACGGCCGGGCUGGCUGAUCAUCUAACCCGUCAUUUUGGCGGGGAAAUAAAUGGUGACAGUCAUCGUUAGUCAGUUUUCCCACACAGAGAAAAAUAAAGAUGCAAGUCAAUCACUUUCGAUUUGUGACCCUAAGACGUCAUCGCGGAUUGCAACGAACUGGCGAUAAGCGCCCUUGUUGGUUUAGAUAAGCGACGUUGGGUCGACCGGAAACCGGACCGGCAAUAACCAAACCCUCUGGCUUGGAAAAGGAGAAGCGAAAAAAAAAAGAAAGAAAACGCAACCGAAUGCAUAUCAGAAAGCAGAGCACUCAAAGUGAAAUGUCAACUCAUUGUUCGGCGGAAAAGCUAAGCGGUCUUUGAUUUGUGGCCGACACUCAGGCCCAUCUCAUGCAUUAUGCAGAUCUUGUCCAGCUCGAGUUUCAAGUUCAAUACAAAGUUCACACCACGCAGCUGUCAGCAGUGAUGUACUCUGCGGUCAACGAAAGUGAUACCGAUUUCGGAGCAAUGAAAUCUGUAUACCCUAUCCACAAGUAAGAUAGGGACUUUAAUCCACAAGUGGGGGAGUUUCUCAUAAGACUGUUUUGCCGAAAUUUCCGUGUUUCGGUUACGGUUUCAGCUCACACAUUUUAUUUACCUCGGAAACCCCGUUACUGUUUUGAAAUUGAAUCGGUUAAUAUCGUUUAACAGCUCCGUUAGUUGCGGUUUAGGCCCCAUGCUCGAAAAGCAAAUAAACAUAUCUGUUAAAUUAAUGAAA